CAGGUAAGGUGUUUGGGCCUCCAAUUGAGCCCAUCAAUAUAGGUGAUUGAAUAAAUUGAAAAGUGAAUUAAAACAAAGUAAAUCUGCUAAUUGCAAGAAUAGAGGUAAUCACUAUCAAUCAUACAAUUUGUCAAAUUUAGUCAUGAAUCUCAAAAUGACGAAAUCCAGGUCUAAGCCUUGAUCAUUUUGCAUAAAAAAUAAUUACUACUACAAUUAAAGUAAUCAAUAAACUCCUUUUAUACAAAUCAAAAUAUUUAUGUAAGCAUCAUUACUAAAGAAUCAACACAGUAACCAAUUCAGAGCUAUGACUAAGUCUUUAUACCACCAAAUGUCAUAAGAAAUCUUCCUACUACCUUCAGUAGCCUCCUGCCCUUUUAUCUGUUGAUAAGAAUCAAUCUCAAAUUUUGAAAAUGAGUGGUUUUAAGCUUGAAAUGGCCAAAUAACACAGCUACAAUUCUAAUUGAAAACAACACAUAGAUUAUCUUUAGUAGGCAUCAAAUUUCGAUCUACUUCAACAUUUUUAUAUAUUUUUGAAACAUGGAACAAACUAAUAGAUCCCAUUAAGACAGAUGAUUAUCAAUAGCACAUAGACUAGUUCAUGAAUGAUUUUGUACUGAUUUUACCAGAGAAAUUAAUGAACAUAAAUAGUCAUUAAAAAAAAGACAAAGAUAGAGCAGAUAACAAUGUAACACAAGGAUAAGGUAUGGAGUUGAGUAUAACCAUGAAAACAAAUAUUCAGAUCUUCAUUUACAAUCUCGAAGAGAAUCAUAAGUGAGAAUUAACAUACCUAAAAGCAAUAACUAAGCAGCAGUUAAUCAAGCAAGGUCUAGGAUUCCCAAAUUCAACAGCAGCAGGGAAAAUCAACAGGAUCGAGUCAGCAAACAGCAACUCUAAAGCUUGAAAAUCUUUUGACAAUCCCAGAAAACUACCACCUAAGUAUGCUGAAAUUCCAAACAUCUUUUCUCCUUCUUCUUUUUUCCUUCUUUAUUUUUUUGUAUUUUUCAAAUCGAAACUUUUGAGAGUAUUUUUCCUCAGAAGAAAUCAGUAUCAGAUGAAAAGAAAAGUUUGAAAAUUUGUCCAGAAGAUGAGUGAAAAAUUUGUGUGAGAUUGAUAGAGUAAGGGAGUGUGUGGAUGCAGAUGAGCGAAUGAAGAAGGAGAUGGGUGGCGGCUAGGGUUCUUUGAGUGUGAGGGGUCUAUUCUUAGAGAGGAAGAAGGAUGCUAGGGUUUCUUGAGGGAAGGGGGGUGGGGGGUCUCUUUCCAAAGAGGAUUGGGAUUUA
rnacentral:lncRNA from 1 species